UACGUAGGGUGCAAGCGUUAAUCGGAAUUACUGGGCGUAAAGCGUGCGCAGGCGGUGAUGUAAGACAGAUGUGAAAUCCCUGGGCUCAACCUGGGCAGGUCAGAUAAAACUGCUGUACUCGAGUAUGGGAGAGGGUAGUGGAAUUUCCGGUGUAGCGGUGAAAUGCGUAGAGAUCGGAAGGAACACCGGUGGCGAAGGCGGGUCUCUGGGCCGUAACUGACGCUGAGGAGCGAAAGCGUGGGGAGCGAACAGG
rnacentral:rRNA from 1 species